rnacentral:rRNA from 1 species
GCAAUAUUCAUACAGUAUGUAUAUAACAUGUAAAGAAAAGACUUACAUAACUGUGGAAACUAAAUAGACAAAUUAUACCAUGGAUAGUACCGAAUCAAGCCGACGAUGAAUGAAAGGGAGGUUUUUUUUUGCGGGAAAAGAACUGUUGAUAUUUAGCACAGGGUUCUUACAGAAAGGUCAUGAGACAAAAAAAAUUACAUUGAAGCCCCCAGCACCCCGUUGACGAAGACGACGACGAAAACGUAUCGCCGGCGCGCCGCCGCUGCUGCUCCACACAAGCCUUGGAUUUGGAACAGACCCUCCGCGGACGGGAAGUCGACGAAGCUCAGCCCCGGAAGACCUCCAUCCCGCAUCGUCAAAGCCAACGCCCUGCACCGCACCACCAGCUCGAUUCAGAACUUCGAGAUCCCGGAUCCGCCGUCCCGCGGACUCCGGUGAGGGAAAAGUGCACCCAGCAGCUCCACCGAGCCCCGAGCACGAGGAAGACGGAAGAUCGACAGCGGAGCUCCUCGGACCUCCACCGCCGGAGAGGAAGACCUCCGUCGCAAAACGCCACUCCGGCCGCGCCGCCCACUCCCCAACGCCGCCGGCUAGCUCCCAAACCGAACCUACGCUAUAUACACGCCGCAGAUCGGGACCUCCCCAUCCUCCCGCUGCCGGAGCAGCCACCGAAGGGUGAGGAACCCGCCGAUCUGGCGGCGGCGAGGUGGAUCGCCCGGGGUCGCCCAAAAGUCGCCCUUUCUCUACUGUGGACGGGGAAAGGAUAAGGCUCCAAGGCGCACAAUGAAAGGGAGUUUGUUCCAAAAAAAAAUAGUAAGACCCAAAAUAGGGUAGCAGAUUGUAUGAAAAAUU